ensembl:lncRNA
UAAGUUUUCAGUUUUAUUUAGCUUCUGAGAGAAGAAGCUGGCAAAACUACACAAUUUGGAGGAGGAGGAAGAGGCUUUCAGAAAGCAACUGAGUCCUGCAGAGGUGACACUCGGCUGGAAAACCUAAAUGAUCGUCCAUAUUGCACCCAAAAGAGAUGGAAGGAGUUGGAGUGUGUGGCAGGCCUAAUCUGAGAAGUGGCUUAUUCUUAAGAAGCAAAGAGAAACAUCCAUAUGCAUGUAAAUGAGGAUACCAAGGAGUACUUGAAUUGUGGAAUCUGCAUCGGUAUCAGURUGUGGUAUCAGCACCAAACAGCAGGUUCUGAAGUUUUCAGAUGUGUGAAACUAAAACAAUUGAGAUGGCAGGCAUGCAGUAUACCUUCACAACCCUGUUGGUGGGAGGGAGGUCUCCUUGCACUGGAUGGACAUCUCUCAACUCUAAGAACUCUGUUAUUUCUAAUUUAUUCUGAGAUGGAUGGAACAAAGGCUGACUUCAGGAACAAUAACUGCCUUAGGAAGGCAGCUGGCUGGCUUGAGUGUUUGCUCUGUGUGGACCAGUGCAGAUACGAUGGCGAGCUCUUUGAACUGGUGGCCAUGGCUCUGCCCCAUAGCAAGGAGCAAACAGAUCGCAGUGCCCCCGUGUUCACGUGGCUGCAGGAAAUCCUCCAGGGAGCUGUGAAAUCCCAAGGAAGCUUCCAGCAUGCCACUGCUUUCUGGACUUGCUUUGCAGCUGAGGAACCUGCAGUUGGKGGCUGUUCCAGACCAGGUGUGACUUUAGGCAGAAGGAUGAUGAGGUGCCAGUUAUUAGCCUUCGCUUGCUGGCUAUCCCCUUUCCUCUGAGAGGAACGGGAAGCCUGGGAGGCAUUCUUGCCAAAGCCUUCCUUGAUGCCAGCCAAAGCGUGUUUGAAGUCUUAUUUAAUUCCAGUGAGUGAUUAUGGAAAUCAGUUCAAAUUAAAAUCCAAAGUACUUGUUUAGGUAAGGUUAGAAACUCGGGCAACAUUCACUAGCCCAAGAAGCUUUUCUUCACCCCCUUGAAUGUGCAUGAAGGAUAGUUUGUAUGCCUGUGACAGAGAAGGGUGAAACGGCCUGGAUGCCACAUCUCUUGCUACCAGAAAACUGCAUUUUGUGCUGUAAGGAAAAGGUGGUUAAUUUGGUCUGAGGCAUAGUCUACUGUCUGCUGGGGAGCUCCAGCUCUUUCCAGUGCAGAGUGUUGUUAGUUCAAGCUCCAUAUGAAACUUAAGUCUAACUGCAAGUUUGAAAACCACUUUCCAUCUGAAGAUCCUUGGUCUAAACUUUUGCUCUUCCUCUUGCCCUUUGCUCCCCCCAUCUUGGGGGAAGUGGGAUCCAGAUUUGGCAAAACCGCGGCCAGUCCCGGAGCCCCCUCGCAGCGGUGCCGCGUGCUGCGCCAGCCGCCGGUGCUGUGUGCCCGCCGUCGGUGUGCGCCGGGCCCUUUCCCCACUGGCAGYGGGGGCUAAGCAGAUGGGAGCAGCUGCCUCAAAGGUCCAUUCUUCUGCCAGAGAUUUAUUGCGACGAGCAGAGGCGCUGGGAUGCGAUAAUUGCCUUCAUUCCCGGACGAAGACCCUGGUGAACAAAAGGCAGUUGCCCGUGAAUCCAUGGUGUGACUCAAGCAUCCGCUCGGAGGGGAGGAGUGAGAGCUGUGUGCCUGUUGCUGUAGCAAAAGCGAAUGGGUGUUAAUCAAAAGGGCAGCUCUGCCCUUUGCAGCAGAGAGCACAGCAGCCCUGCGGAGGUGGCCUGGGCCCUGCAGCCUUCGAAUCCGCCCUCCCGCACUGCCCCGGGGCCUCUGCUUGGGGGAACGCCAGAGCACUAGCGCUGCCGGCUC